rnacentral:rRNA from 1 species
CCCGACUGCUAUUUGGGUGAGAAUAAGCCAUGCGAGUUGAAUGGGAUACCUAAAUUUCCCAUAGCAAACUGCUCAGUAACACAUGAUCAACUUACCCUAUGGAGAAAAAUAACCUCGGGAAACUGAGGAUAAUGUUUCAUAGUUGAAUAGGCUUGGAAAAGUUUUUCAAUGAAAUGGAUAAAAAGAAUGGUUUCUAUUUGCCAUAGGAUAGGAUCGUGGUCGAUUAUGGUUGUUGGUGAGGUAACGGCUCACCAAGCCGAUAAUCGAUAGGGGCCGUGAGAGCGGGAGCCCCGAGAUGGGUACUGAGACAACGACCCAGGCCUUACGAGGCGCAGCAGGCGCGGAACCUCCGCAAUACACGAAAGUGUGACGGGGUUACCCAAAGUGUUCAAUUUUGGACUGUGGUAGGUGAGUAAUGUCCCCUACUAGAAAGGAGAGGGCAAGGCUGGUGCCAGCCGCCGCGGUAAAACCAGCUCUUCAAGUGGUCGGGAUGAUUAUUGGGCUUAAAGUGUCCGUAGCCGGUUUAGUAAGUUCCUGGUAAAAUCGGGUAGCUUAACUAUCCGUAUGCUAGGAAUACUGCUAUACUAGAGGACGGGAGAGGUCUGAGGUACUACAGGGGUAGGGGUGAAAUCUUAUAAUCCUUGUAGGACCACCAGUGGCGAAGGCGUCAGACUGGAACGUGCCUGACGGUGAGGGACGAAAGCCAGGGGAGCAAACCGGAUUAGAUACCCGGGUAGUCCUGGCCGUAAACGAUGCAUACUAGGUGAUGGCAUGGCCAUGAGCCGUGUCAGUGCCGUAGGGAAACCGUUAAGUGUGCCGCCUGGGAAGUACGGUCGCAAGGCUAAAACUUAAAGGAAUUGGCGGGGGAGCACCACAAGGGGUGAAGCCUGCGGUUC